AACAUGGGUUUGCGCCAGGGCAUUUUUUGUCUUCUUCACAUUGACCACCAACCUUUUCCAUUUUACCUCUUGCCACUCUUGCCUCUAGAAUUUUCCCAGGCCUAUAAUUGGCAUCACUAUCAUCAGGGAAACGCACACAACAAGCAGACCCCCCUCUCUCUCUCGUGUCUUGACCGGCGACCGGAGAUCGGAGCUCCGGCGAAUCGACGCUGGUUAUGGUUGACGGCGACGGUGGUGCCUCGGAACUCCGGAAGCCGUGAUGUAUACGUCCGGUGACGGCGGAGAGUCGCCGGCGACAGUGGCGACAGGGCAGUGGUGGUGGCUGUGCUAACAGGCCACUCCAUCUCAGAUACGUUCGGCUCAGUCAAGUCCGGCCUAGAUUCAGGCGACAGGGUUCAACUCGGUUUGGUUCGGUUUAGGUUUUUGUUAGACACGGAUUCGAGGUGGUAAAACUACCAUCUUUAUUUUCUGAUCCAAAGCCCUAUGGUUUGGGCAGUUAAUUUAUCACAUACCAAAAAACCAGAGGUUUGGGUGUGGUAAUGUGGAUGUGUGAGAGGGUUCACGAGAUGGACAGAGGCAAAAGAUACAGGCAUACAAAACUUGAUAUCUUUUCUUAGUAUAAAGCACAUUGCUCUAUAUAAAAAAACAAAAGUGAGCUUUUUUAUAUUAUUUUUUAUUUUUUAUACAACUAAGUGCGUACGAUACAAAUUGAGGUAAAUUUGUUUUAGAGUUUCUCGAUCGAUAUAAAAACAUGUACGUUAAUAUCUG